UACAGAGACUGCAAGCGUUAUUCGGAUUCACUGGGCGUAAAGGGUGCGCAGGCGGCCAAGUGUGUGAGGCGUGAAAGCCCGGGGCUUAACCCCGGAAUUGCACCUCAAACUACAUGGCUAGAGCAUUGGAGAGGGUAGCGGAAUUCACGGUGUAGCAGUGAAAUGCGUAGAUAUCGUGAGGAACACCAGAGGCGAAGGCGGCUACCUGGACCGGUAUUGACGCUGAGGCGCGAAAGCCAGGGGAGCAAACGGG
rnacentral:rRNA from 1 species